GGCGGUGUAGCUCAGCUGGCUAGAGCGUACGGUUCAUACCCGUAAGGUCAGCGGUUCGAUCCCCUCCGCCGCUA
rnacentral:tRNA from 1 species